GGUGCUAAUACCGUAUAACACUAUUUUCCGCAUGGAAGAAAGUUGAAAGGCGCUUUUGCGUCACUGAUGGAUGGACCCGCGGUGCAUUAGCUAGUUGGUGAGGUAACGGCUCACCAAGGCCACGAUGCAUAGCCGACCUGAGAGGGUGAUCGGCCACACUGGGACUGAGACACGGCCCAGACUCCUACGGGAGGCAGCAGUAGGGAAUCUUCGGCAAUGGACGAAAGUCUGACCGAGCAACGCCGCGUGAGUGAAGAAGGUUUUCGGAUCGUAAAACUCUGUUGUUAGAGAAGAACAAGGAUGAGAGUAAAAUGUUCAUCCCUUGACGGUAUCUAACCAGAAAGCCACGGCUAACUACGUGCCAGCAGCCGCGGUAAUACGUAGGCGGCAAGCGUUGUCCGGAUUUAUUGGGCGUAAAGCGAGCGCAGGCGGUUUCUUAAGUCUGAUGUGAAAGCCCCCGGCUCAACCGGGGAGGGUCAUUGGAAACUGGGAGACUUGAGUGCAGAAGAGGAGAGUGGAAUUCCAUGUGUAGCGGUGAAAUGCGUAGAUAUAUGGAGGAACACCAGUGGCGAAGGCGGCUCUCUGGUCUGUAACUGACGCUGAGGCUCGAAAGCGUGGGGAGCGAACAGGAUUAGAUACCCUGGUAGUCCACGCCGUAAACGA
rnacentral:rRNA from 1 species